AUGCAGACCUCACGCGGGAGCCUCCGUUCACCUUUCCUUCCUUCUCCUCCACCCGCCCAGCUUGCCUUAGGCUUCCUUCUGGUGCAGUCUCUCAGCCACAAAGAUACAUCUGUUGUAGGCAUCCGUGGCUGAGUCCUCAUGUCCAUCCCGUUCUAGUCCGUCCUACACGCUGCACCAGAGGGAUAUUUCCAAAACGAAAACUUCAUCGUGGUCUUCACCUGCUCACAUCUCUUCUAUGGCUCCCCAUUACUCUGAUGAAAAAAGGCAAACUCUUUAGUCUGGUAUACAGGGCUUGCCAUUCUGCGGGCACUGUGUCUUUACACCGCAUGUCCCUAUGAACGCCCCCCACCAAGCUGUUUAGACAUACCCUCAGUGCCUUUUUACUUUCCCUUUCCUCUCUUCUCCACUUGGUAAACAUUUUUGUUUUAGGAAUCAGUUCAAAAGCUACCAACUUUGUCUUCUAAGUUCUCACGUUGGAGCAUCCAUGGCUUGGAAGAUGUGGCCGUCUGGAUUCUCACGUAUGGCAAGUUCAGGCUGGAGUUGAGUGGCCACUGCUGUUCGUAAGAUGGGGCAUCUGCUCUCCAGUUCACCGUAGUCCCUACACGCCCAAAUGACAGUGCUGCCCUAAGACACAGCUCGGAAAACCAAUAUUGGGUGUCGACAAGAGCUGG
rnacentral:lncRNA from 1 species